AUACGUAGGGGGCGAGCGUUGUCCGGAAUGAUUGGGCGUAAAGGGCGCGUAGGCGGCCUGUUAAGUCUGGAGUGAAAGUCCUGUUUUCAAGGUGGGAAUUGCUUUGGAUACUGCCGCGCUUGAGUGCAGGAGAGGUUAUCGGAAUUCCCGGUGUAGCGGUGAAAUGCGUAGAGAUCGGGAGGAACACCAGUGGCGAAGGCGGGUAACUGGACUGCAACUGACGCUGAGGCGCGAAAGUGUGGGGAGCAAACAGGAUUAGAUACCCUGGUAGUCCACACUGUAAACGAUGAAUGCUAGGUGUAAGAGGUAUCGACCCCUUUUGUGCCGGAGUCAACACAAUAAGCAUUCCGCCUGGGGAGUACGGCCGCAAGGUUGAAACUCAAAUGAAUUGGCGGGG
rnacentral:rRNA from 1 species